rnacentral:tRNA from 1 species
ACUAUUUUGGCAGAAAACAUGUAAUGGUUUUAGAAAUCAAUAAAUAUAUAAAAUAAAUUAUAUAGAUAGUA